CAAGUCGAACGAUGAACCUCCUUCGGGAGGGGAUUAGUGGCGAACGGGUGAGUAACACGUGGGCAAUCUGCCCUUCACUCUGGGACAAGCCCUGGAAACGGGGUCUAAUACCGGAUACGACCUGCCAAGGCAUCUUGGCGGGUGGAAAGCUCCGGCGGUGAAGGAUGAGCCCGCGGCCUAUCAGCUUGUUGGUGAGGUAACGGCUCACCAAGGCGACGACGGGUAGCCGGCCUGAGAGGGCGACCGGCCACACUGGGACUGAGACACGGCCCAGACUCCUACGGGAGGCAGCAGUGGGGAAUAUUGCACAAUGGGCGAAAGCCUGAUGCAGCGACGCCGCGUGAGGGAUGACGGCCUUCGGGUUGUAAACCUCUUUCAGCAGGGAAGAAGCGAGAGUGACGGUACCUGCAGAAGAAGCGCCGGCUAACUACGUGCCAGCAGCCGCGGUAAUACGUAGGGCGCAAGCGUUGUCCGGAAUUAUUGGGCGUAAAGAGCUCGUAGGCGGCUUGUCGCGUCGGUUGUGAAAGCCCGGGGCUUAACCCCGGGUCUGCAGUCGAUACGGGCAGGCUAGAGUUCGGUAGGGGAGAUCGGAAUUCCUGGUGUAGCGGUGAAAUGCGCAGAUAUCAGGAGGAACACCGGUGGCGAAGGCGGAUCUCUGGGCCGAUACUGACGCUGAGGAGCGAAAGCGUGGGGAGCGAACAGGAUUAGAUACCCUGGUAGUCCACGCCGUAAACGGUGGGCACUAGGUGUGGGCAACAUUCCACGUUGUCCGUGCCGCAGCUAACGCAUUAAGUGCCCCGCCUGGGGAGUACGGCCGCAAGGCUAAAACUCAAAGGAAUUGACGGGGGCC
rnacentral:rRNA from 1 species